rnacentral:rRNA from 1 species
GAUGAACGCUAGCUACAGGCUUAACACAUGCAAGUCGAGGGACCGGCGCACGGGUGAGUAACACGUAUCCAACCUUCCCUUUACCCUGGGAUAGCCUUUCGAAAUAAAGAUUAAUACCCGAUAUAAAGGAUGGGGAUGCGUUCCAUUAGGUUGUUGGUGAGGUAACGGCCAACCAAGCCUUCGAUGGAUAGGGGUGCUGAGAGGAAGGUACCCAACAUUGGAAAUGAGACCCGGUCCAAACUCCUACGGGAGGCAGCAGUGAGGAAGAUUGGGCAAUGGGCGUUAGCCUGAACCAGCCAAGUAGCGUGAAGGAUGAAGGCUUAUGGGUCGUAAACUUCUUUUAUAUAAGAAUAUGUAUUAUAUGAAUAAGGAUCGGCUAACUCCGUGCCAGCCGCCGCGGUAAUAC